AUCCAGUGAGCUAGCUACUCUAGCUUGACAGCAGUAGACUAGCUAGAUAUAUACAUGAAUUAGUACACAAGAUCUGGCAUGAUACGUACGUACGUUCUUGUUUGCUACUUUGCUGUAUGGAUGGAGUUAUGGAACAACUAAGGAGAUAACUGGAGAUGAAGGUCGAUAAAUGGAAUGCGUUGAUCUAAGUGACUAAGCUCUCUUUCUCUUUCUCACUCGUUGGCUUGCUAAAAAAAAGGAAUUUUUUAGUGUCUGCAGGUGAAUUGAAGCUGCAUUAAUUAGGUUUGGUGGAAUUUUCCUGUAGAGUGAGAUGUAUAUAGAUAUAGCUUCUGUAAAUACGAGGAACCCUAGUUUUUUUUUCCCUUUCGUUAUUUCUUCUUCUAUGAGAGCCCAUGCCACAUUAUUUUUAUAUUCUAGUCAUUUCCUCCUCCUCUUCCUCUUCUUCUUCUAACAAAGCUCCAUUCUGCGCGUUGUUUUUAUGCUUGAGCAGUAGGGAUGAGGUGGGUGAGGUUGUUUAUUGCGGUGCUUCUGUUGCUUCACAUCUUGAUUGGGUCCCAAGGUUUUGCUAGAGAAAUCAGGAAAGGUCAUAGGAAGAAGACAUCGAUAUCGAUAUCGGCGACGACGAAGACGAUGAGGAA
rnacentral:lncRNA from 1 species